rnacentral:misc_RNA from 1 species
AAAGUUUUGGGAUCUCAUUUAUUUGGUAUGGGGAUAGAAGAAUGGAAAGGUGAAUUGAAAAAAUUGAACGGCCAAUCUUUGAAGAAAAUUCAAGACGUUUUGAAAAUAAGUUAUGAUGGGCUAGAGAGGGAUGAAAAGGAAAUAUUUCUUGAUAUUGUAUGUUUCUUCAAUGGUGAAAGAAGAGAUCGUGUAGAGAGAAUAUUAGAAGCAUGUGGUUUCCAUCCAAAAGGUGCAAUACAUCGCCUAAUUAAAAAAUCUCUCAUAAGUAUUUUAGGAAAGUACAUAGAAGUGCAUGACUUGCUACGACAAAUGGGCAAAGAUAUAAUCAUUGAGGAAUGCAAACAGCCUGGAGGACGCAGUAGGUUGUGGAAUAAUGAAGAUAUUUAUCAUGUAUUUGCAACAAAUACGGGAACUGAAAGUGUUGAAGCCAUAGUUCUUAAUCUGUAUUCUACAAUAGAUGAUUUGAAGCUAAGUCCCACGGCCUUCACGAAGAUGUGCAAGCUUAGAAUGCUCAUAUUCAGAUGGUAUGGAAUACCAACAGGACAAGUGCUCCUUCCUAACAACCUUGAAUUUCUUCCACAAGAGCUAAGAUAUCUUGAAUGGCAAUUUUACCCUUGGACAUUUUGGCCAUCAAAUUUUUGCCCAAAGAAUCUCGUAGAACUUCAAAUGAGCAAUAGCAAACUCAGGCAACUAUGGAAUGGAGAUGAGCAUCUUGGAAAUUUGGUAUUACUUAAACUCGUCGGCUCUAAAGACCUGAUCAGGAUUCCAGACUUACCUAAAACUGCCCCAAAUGUUGAGGUUUUAGAUUUGAGUUGGUGUCAUAGUCUGACUGAGAUCCCAUCUCUUCAAAAUCUGAGCAAGCUU